rnacentral:misc_RNA from 1 species
AACAAAGUGAAUCAGUGGGGAACUAGUGCUGGAUUCAAAGUUAGCAAACAUGGGCAAGUGCUACCCCAUGGUGAGCGCGGAAUAUCAGAAAGCAGUCCAAAAAUGCAAGAGAAAGCUUAGAGGACUCAUCGCUGAGAAGCACUGCGCUCCCAUCGUCCUUCGCUUAGCAUGGCACUCUGCAGGUACUUUUGAUGUGAAAACAAGAACAGGCGGACCUUUUGGGACGAUCAGGCACCCUCAGGAGCUUGCACGCGAGGCCAACAAUGGCCUUGAGAUUGCUGUCAGGCUUCUGGAGCCUAUCAAGGAACAAUUUCCUAUCUUGACGUAUGCUGACUUCUACCAGUUGGCAGGAGUUGUUGCUGUAGAAAUUACAGGAGGGCCUGAGAUUCCUUUCCACCCGGGGAGACCAGACAAAUCUAAUCCACCCCCAGAAGGUCGCUUACCUGAUGCUACUAAAGGUUCGGAUCAUUUGAGGGAUAUCUUUGGUCGAAUGGGCCUCAGUGACAAAGAUAUCGUUGCCUUAUCUGGUGGUCACACCCUGGGUAGGUGUCACAAGGAACGUUCUGGAUUUGAGGGACCCUGGACCACCAAUCCUCUCAUUUUUGACAACUCUUAUUUCAGGGAACUUUUAAGUGGAGAGAAAGGAGGUCUUAUCCAGCUGCCAUCAGAUAAGGCUCUUUUACAAGAUCCAGUCUUUCGU